rnacentral:rRNA from 1 species
AUACGUAGGUGGCAAGCGUUGUCCGGAUUUACUGGGUGUAAAGGGCGCGUAGGCGGGAUGGCAAGUCAGAUGUGAAAUCUCCGGGCUCAACCCGGCAACUGCAUUUGAAACUGUCGUUCUUGAGUAUCGGAGAGGCAAGCGGAAUUCCUAGGGUAGCGGUGAAAAGCGUAGAGAUCGGGAGGAACACCAGUGGCGAAGGCGGGUAACUGGACUGCAACUGACGCUGAGGCGCGAAAGUGUGGGGAGCAAACAGGAUUGGAUACCCUGGUAGUCCACACUGUAAACGAUGAAUGCUAGGUGUAAGAGGUAUCGACCCCUUUUGUGCCGGAGUCAACACAAUAAGCAUUCCGCCUGGGGAGUACGGCCGCAAGGUUGAAACUCAAAUGAAUUGACGGGG